GCCGAGAUGUGAUGAGGUGAGUCUUCGGACUCGAAACUCGGUGAUCCUAUGCUUCCAAGAAAAGCUGCGUAGUGAGCCCCAUUAGUGACCGUACCGCAAACCGACUCAGGUGGGCGGGGUGAGAAUCCCAAGGCGCGUGAGAGAACACUGGCUAAGGAACUCGGCAAAAUUGCACCGUAACUUCGGGAGAAGGUG
rnacentral:rRNA from 11 species